UCAGGACGAACGCUGGCGGUGUGCCUCAUACAUGCAAGUCGAACGAGAAACUGGAGCUUGCUUCAGUGGAAAGUGGCGGACGGGUGAGUAAUAUGUAGGAAAUCUGCCCUAGAGAGGGGGACAACAGAGGGAAACUUCUGCUAAUACCCCAUAUGAGCUUGGUUGAAAUACCAAUCUUGAAAAACUCCGGUGCUCUAGGAUGAGCCUGCAUCUGAUUAGCUAGUUGGUGGUGUAAUGGACCACAAAGGCGACGAUCAGUAGCUGGUUUGAGAGGAUGAUCAGCCACAAUGGGACUGAGACACGGCCCAUACUCCUACGGGAGGCAGCAGUAGGGAAUUUUGCGCAAUGGGGGAAACCCUGAACCGCAGCAACACCGCGUGAAUGUUAAGCCCUUCGGGGUAUAAAGUUCUGUCAAUGGGGAAGAAUAAAUGACUGUACCCAUAAAGGAAGCACCGGCUAACUCCGUGCCAGCCGCUGC
rnacentral:rRNA from 1 species